rnacentral:rRNA from 1 species
ACGCUCGACACCUACGGGAGGCAGCAGUGGGGAAUAUUGCACAAUGGGGGAAACCCUGAUGCAGCGACGCCGCGUGAGUGAAGAAGUAUUUCGGUAUGUAAAGCUCUAUCAGCAGGGAAGAAGAUGACGGUACCUGAGUAAGAAGCCCCGGCUAACUACGUGCAAGCAGCCGCGGUAAUCUGAGCGGGCUGGCAAGGC